UAUUAAAAUUGUUGCGUCUGAAAAGCUCGUAGUUUGAAAACUUGCCUUAGCUUACAACAGGUUCCCAAUGGGGGCCGCCGUAUGAUGAGAGCAAAUAUCGAUGACUGUUUUUGCCGACUUAAUUGUCCGGCUUAUAAGAGUUAUCAAAUAUCACUUUGAUUAAAUUAGAGUGCUUAAAGCAAGUGUGUUACUUGGAUAUAAAUGCAUGGAAUGAUGGAAUAUGUUGUUGUUCUAUUUGUUGGUUUUUGAACGAUAAAAUGAUUGAAAGGAACUGUUGGGGGCAUUCGUAUUGUUGUGAGAGAGGUGAAAUUCUUAGACCACAGCAAGACGAACUACUGCGAAAGCAUUUGCCAAGAAUGUUUUCAUUGAUCAAGAACGAAAGUUAGAGGUUCGAAGGCGAUCAGAUACCGCCCUAGUUCUAACCAUAAACUAUGCCAACUAGCAAUUUGCUUAUGUUCUUUAUAUGACUAAGUGAGAGGCCACGGGAAACCAAAGUAGGGUUAUGGGGGAAGUAUGGUUGCAAAGCUGAAACUUAAAGGAAUUGACGGAAGGGCACCACCAGGAGUGGAGCCUGCGGCUUAAUUUGACUCAACACGGGAAAACUUACCUGGUCCUGACACUAGAAGGAUUGACAGAUUGAUAGCUCUUUCUUGAUUUGGUGGAUGGUGGUGCAUGGCCGUUCUUAGUUGGUGGAGUGAUUUGUCUGGUUAAUUCCGAUAACGAACGAGACUCUAGCCUAUUAAAUAACACACAGAAUCUCGUCUUCUGUGGUGUUUCUUAAUGGGAUCAAGUGUGUUUAACGCCUUGAAACAGAGCAAUAACAGGUCUGUGAUGCCCUUAGAUGUUCGGGGCCGCACGCGCGCUACAUUGAGAGACAAAAUGAGUUUUCUAAUCUUUAAUAAGACUAGUAAUCUUUGAAUGUUUUUCUUAAUGGGGAUAGGGGAUUGCAAUUGUGCCCCUUGAACGAGGAAUUCCCAGUAAGUGCUAGUCAUUAGCUAGUACUGAUUACGUCCCUGCCCUUUGUACACACCGCCCGUCGCUACUACCGAUUGAAUGGUUUAGUGAGAUCAUCUGAGUAGAUGUGCAUGUACAUCGUAUGUGUAAUGUUUGCAAUGAAGAUCAAACUUGAUCAUUUAGAGGAAGUAACAGUCGUAACAAGGUUUCCGUAGGUGAACCUGCGG
rnacentral:rRNA from 1 species